rnacentral:rRNA from 1 species
AUUGAACGCUGGCGGCAGGCUUAACACAUGCAAGUCGAGCGGAGAUGAGGUGCUUGCACCUUAUCUUAGCGGCGGACGGGUGAGUAAUGCUUAGGAAUCUGCCUAUUAGUGGGGGACAACAUUCCGGAAGGAAUGGUAAUACCGCAUACGUCCUACGGGAGAAAGCAGGGGAUCUUCGGACCUUGCGCGAAUAGAUGAGCCUAGGUAGGAUUAGCUAGUUGGUGGGGGAAAGGCCUACCAAGGCGACGAUCUGUAGCGGGUCUGAGAGGAUGAUCCGCCACACUGGGACUGAGACACGGCCCAGACUCCUACGGGAGGCAGCAGUGAGGAAUAUUGGACAAUGGGGGGAACCCUGAUCCAGCCAUGCCGCGUGUGUGAAGAAGGCCUUAUGGUUGUAAAGCACUUUAAGCGAGGAGGAGGCUACUGAGACUAAUACUCUUGGAUAGUGGACGUUACUCGCAGAAUAAGCACCGGCUAACUCUGUGCCAGCCGCCGCAGUAAUAC